AUGACGAUCAUGAGCUGGAACUGUCGAGGCCUCGGGCAACCUCGCACAGUUCAAGAAUUAGUGUGCCUUGUACACACACAUAAGCCCAAGCUCGUCUUCCUUACUGAAACGCGGUAGAAUAACAAGUUUGUCACAAACCUGAAGUGGAGGCUGGGCCUCCGUCAUUGUAUCACGCAACCCGGUACUGGUAAAUGUGUCGGCAUUGCUCUCUUCUAUGAUGAUAGUGUGGAAAUAAAAAAGAUUGCCGUGGGAGCGAGGUAUAUUGAUGUGUUGAUCAAGCUUGAUGUUCAUGGCCCUCAAUGGAGGGGAACUUUUGUUUAUGGGGAACCUAAAGCUCAUGAGCGUCACCACAUGUGGUCUCUCCUGAGAAGAAUCAAAGAUACAAGCAAUCUGCCGUGGCUUAUAACCGGGGAUUUUAAUGAAACUAUGUGGCAGUCUGAACAUUUCUCAGCCGCGAAGAGGUCAGAAAGGUAUAUGUGUAAUUUCAGGGAGGUGUUGUCCGACUGUAAUCUCUUUGACUUGGGCUUCAAAGGGCCGGGUUGGACCUAUAACAACAAGCAGCAAGGUAUCAACAAUGUCCGAGCGAGACUGGACAGGUUCGUUGCCUCUCCGUCCUGGUCUGACCUCUUCAACAACGCCUCCGUGGAUCAUAUUUGUUCGUCGCGGUCAGAUCAUCUCCCUAUUCUUAUG
rnacentral:rRNA from 1 species